UUUCCAACUCCAUGGGGGCUUUAGUUAACCUCCAUUCAUUGCGUUUACAAAACAAUAGCAUCUAUGGAGAUAUUCCUUCCUCAUUGAAAAAGUGCUCAAAUCUAAAGCUUAUUGACAUGGGUGAUAAUCAUUUGUCCAUCAUACCACUAUGGAUAGGAGAAAUGACAAAUAUUAUAGUUCUCCGUCUAAGAUCAAGUGAAUUCAAGGGUUAUAUACCUCAACAAAUAUGCCAACUUUCUUCUCUUAGAGUAUUGGAUCUUGCUAAUAAUAAUUUAUCAGGAUCCAUACCAAACUGCUUGAAAAAUAUCAGCGCCAUGGCAUUACCAGAUUCCUAUGAUAUUUCAUUAUCUUAUUUUAUGGAUUUUAUAUAUCCAUUUACAUCCUAUGUUGAGAAUGUUCAGUUGGUUCCUAAAGGGAAUGAAAUGGAAUACAAAGAGAACCUUAAAUUAGUUAAGCUCAUAGACCUUUCAAGUAACAACUUGUCCGGAUCAAUCCCUACUGAAAUUUCAGAUCUUUCCGAAUUACGUUUUUUGAAUUUGUCUCGAAAUCAUUUGAUGGGAAAGAUACCAGAAAAAAUUGGGAGUAUGAAAGAGUUAGAGUCAGUUGAUCUCUCACGAAAUCAUUUAUCGGGUGAAAUUCCUCCAAGCAUGUCUAAUUUGACAUUUCUUAGUUUCUUGGACUUGUCAUACAAUAACUUCUUAGGUAGAAUUCCUUCAAGCACCCAGCUUCAAUCAUUUGAUGCCCUUAGGUAUAUUGGAAAUCCUCAGUUAUAUGGUGAUCCUCUUCCAAAAAGCUGCACAAUUGAGGAACUAUCUUUGAAUAGAUCACCAGUUGGUAGUGUUGAAGAUGAUUCUAAAAACUCCAGCUUCUACAUUGGUAUGGGAGUUGGAUUCACAACUGGCUUUUGGGCAAUUUGUGAAGCUCUCUUCUUUAAUAGGACUUGGAGGCGUGCUUAUUUUAGAUUUGCUGAUGAAGUAAAAGAUUGGAUUUAUGAGACUACAAUGAUAAAGAUGAAUUUAUUGGAAAAGCUAAGAGUCUGCCUUAGUAAGUGAAGCAUCGUUAUCUAGCCAAAAGGUUGUGAAAACUCUUGCAAUCCAUGACAAUUACAAUUAGAAGUAGACAAAAAUAAAUUGUUUCUAUAUACUAGGUCAGUGUAACUAUGACUUUGUUAUCUGAAUUAUAUUGUUUGUUAGCUCUGCAUAUGAACUAUAUGCAGCUAUUGGUUCUGGCUAGUUUCAUUAAGGAUGUUUGUAAUGUGAAAAGAUAGUGAACAUAUCAGUAGUGUAGACCAUUUGAUUGGUUUUUGUUAACCUCUUGAAUGAAUGUUUUACCAAAUUAUGUUGACAUACAUGCUAAACUUUGAUGUAGUAACUGUAUGGAUUUUGAUGUUAUGGUCAAAUUAAUUAAAGCAAAUUUACCAUAACAAUGAGAUCUACCUCUAAUGACUUCCUCUUCCAUAAUAAUGAGAUAGAGGGUAAGAUUUUGAUUCAAAAUUUUAUGAAUGCAUAUAUACCAAUAUUAAUAAUAAUGAUAAAUAAAGACUAUUCCCUAAGGUUCAACCCUAUCAAUUGUCAUAUAUUGUGUCAGAUCUAUUUGUUAUAAGUGAAUGCAUUAGUUAAGGAUUUUUUUAUUUUUAUUUUUUAUUUUAUUUGAAAUUUACUUAAAAGAAGUGGUAAAUUAUCAUUGAGAUUGUGUUUGGAUGACCUUAUUUUGACUGUCUUACUUUGUUUAAAAAUACAACUAUAGUUAAAAAAAAAGUGAGGCUUUAAAAAACUUUACAUAAGUUGUUGGUGAAAUUAAAUUUACAUUUUAAUCUAAAACAAAUAGAACCUUAGCAUAUAAAGUUCAUGGUUAGGCAUUUACUAUUUUCUAGUUCCUGUCUCUAUGGUAUUUAAAGAUAGAAGUGAAUGUAGUAUUAUAAUAAUUAAGAAUUUUAGGUUGAUUCACCACUAUUAAAUAUAUAUUUUGUGCCUAUUUUGGUUUCAAAACUUCUUAAAUCUUAAUUACUGAAAAAGUUGUAUUACUUGCAAGGUGUUCAAAGCAAAAUAAUAGCAGAUGUGACACAACUUGAUCUUAAUGCUUGUCUCACUUCUAUCCAAGUUUCAGCUUGUUUGAUUUUGCGCAUCUAUUUAAAGUACUAUAACAAAGUAAAAUUUCUUUUAACUUGUUGAUUAAGCCAAAAUUGAACUUUUAAUCAUGGUAUUGCAUUUUUAGUAGAUGUUAUUUUGUUUGUUCUCUCUCUUUCUACCUUACCGCUUGGCUUUAUGUGAAUUUAUGCUACCUUUGUCAUUCAGUGUACUACUUCAUUGGUUGUCCUUUAAUCUCAAUUUUUUUUUCUCUUUAACCGUUUGGGAAGGGAUGUUGAUGUGGCAAAAUCAGAGGAGUUCAAUGAAAUGGGUUGUAAAGCCUCUCUUGCUGAUCAAUAGAAGCAGGUCUGAGAAAACAUUCAUGCUCAGAUUAAAAGUUUCUACACGUGUAUAGAUGAAAUUCUUUUGCCUUAUACUAAAAGGAUACGUGAAGCACAAGAACUGCCUCCACAACCAAGAGCUACUCCUUGUCAGUGUGGCCUUGAUUUUGCUGUUGGCAUGGAUGGCCAACCUACUAAUCGUCCUGGGCCUUGAUUGGAAUUUUUGUAUUGGAGGUAACACACAUAGAGGUCCAGAUUAUUUUACUACAAGAAAGUGCUGAUUAUGAUCAAUUCUCAUUUUAGUAUUUGGAUGGCAUGUUGCUGACUAAAAAAUACAUGGAUUGAUGGAUAUGUGGGAAAAAAAAGGGGAUCAAUGUCUCUAGAAGUACAAGGAUGUCCUCCAAGCUGGACUUACGCCUUCCAGUUUAAUCUCCUUAUGUGCUACAACCGUUUGGGAAGGAAUGCUGAUGAGGCAGACGCAGAGGAGAUCAUAGAAUGGCCAGUAAAGCCUCUCUUGCUGAUCAACAAGUCCAAGAAAACGUCCAUGCUCAGAUUAAAUGUGAGCAUCCACUGCAAAAAUGCCUAUGUUGGAUUAUGUUGGAUAAGUUUGGUUGGAUCAAUUUCAAGCUUAGCUUUGUUCCAAUUAAAACCCAAUAAGUAAGCAUUUCAUGCACAUAUUAAUUUGAUUUCAAAAA